GGAUGUGGCGCAGCCUGGUAGCGCGCCUGCUUUGGGAGCAGGAUGUCGCAGGUUCGAAUCCUGUCAUCC
rnacentral:tRNA from 1 species